GAUGAACGCUGGCGGCGUGCCUAAUACAUGCGAGUCGAGCGAACAGAUAAGGAGCUUGCUCCCUUGACGUUAGCGGCGGACGGGUGAGUAACACGUGGGUAACCUACCUAUAAGACUGGAAUAACUCCGGGAAACCGGGGCUAAUGCCGGAUAACAUUUAGAACCGCAUGGUUCUAAAGUGAAAGAUGGUUUUGCUAUCACUUAUAGAUGGACCCGCGCCGUAUUAGCUAGUUGGUAAGGUAACGGCUUACCAAGGCAACGAUACGUAGCCGACCUGAGAGGGUGAUCGGCCACACUGGAACUGAGACACGGUCCAGACUCCUACGGGAGGCAGCAGUAGGGAAUCUUCCGCAAUGGGCGAAAGCCUGACGGAGCAACGCCGCGUGAGUGAUGAAGGUCUUCGGAUCGUAAAACUCUGUUAUUAGGGAAGAACAAAUGUGUAAGUAACUGUGCACGUCUUGACGGUACCUAAUCAGAAAGCCACGGCUAACUACGUG
rnacentral:rRNA from 1 species